rnacentral:rRNA from 1 species
GUAGUUAGCCGGGGCUUCCUCCUUGGCUACCGUCACUUUCUUCGUCACCAAGGACAGAGGUUUACAACCCGAAAGCCUUCUUCCCUCACGCGGCGUUGCUGGGUCAGGCUUGCGCCCAUUGCCCAAUAUUCCCCACUGCUGCCUCCCGUAGGAGUCUGGACCGUGUCUCAGUUCCAGUGUGGCCGAUCAGCCUCUCAGCUCGGCUACCCAUCGUCGACUUGGUGGGCCGUUACCCCGCCAACUAUCUAAUGGGACGCGAACUCACCCCAAACCGGAUUACUCCUUUUACCUCAAAGCCAUGCGGCCUCGUGGUCUUAUGCGGUAUUAGCACCUGUUUCCAAGUGUUAUCCCCCUGUCUGGGACAGAUUGUUCACGCGUUACUCACCCGUCCGCCGCUAAAGUAUUCCCAACACGCAACGAUCUCUUUUACUACUAGCUCUUAGCUUCUUAGCCCUUAGCCCUUAGCUUCUUGCUAGCUCCAAAUCGCUCCGUGCCGGAAUACUUCCGCUCGACUUGCAUGUGUUAAGCACGCCGCCAGCGUUCGUCCUGAGCCAUGAUCAAACUCUGA